CUCAGUUUGUGGAGCCUGUUGGAAGGGGCGAGUGGGGUGGGAUUCUGCCGGUACCCUCUGGCUGGGCCUGCCCCAAGCCUGGCCUUUCUCUAAAGCACAAAGAGCUUUCAAAAGUUCAACUGAAUUUAUUCAAUUUAAUUCAACCAGUAUUUCAGCAUUAGAGGCAGCUACCUGGUGAGCUUGAGGAGAGGAGAGGAAGGGUAAGAAACCAAGAAGGCGGCACUGAUGAUGAUAAAAAUAAGGCAUGUGACUUCACUAGCUGUUUUCUCCGAAGCUGGGCCAGAGACUCCUCCUGGUCAUCAGGUUGGGUAUAAUGUGCCAUCACCCCAGAUACCCUGGAGCAACAUCCUGAGGUCUUCCUACUCAUUUUGGGGUUCUGGAAGCCACAUCCCAAGGACCUUGGUCAGUCAAAAUGGGCCCCGGA